rnacentral:rRNA from 1 species
CAGUCGCCACGGUAAUACGUAGGGUGCGAGCGUUAAUCGGAAUUACUGGGCGUAAAGCGUGCGCAGGCGGUUUUGUAAGACAGGCGUGAAAUCCCCGGGCUCAACCUGGGAAUGGCGCUUGUGACUGCAAAGCUAGAGUGCGGCAGAGGGGGAUGGAAUUCCGCGUGUAGCAGUGAAAUGCGUAGAUAUGCGGAGGAACACCGAUGGCGAAGGCAAUCCCCUGGGCCUGCACUGACGCUCAUGCACGAAAGCGUGGGGAGCAAACAGGAUUAGAGACCCGAGUAGUCCCUGUCUCUUAUAC